GUGCUCGCUUCGGCAGCACAUAUACUAAAAUUGGAAUGAUAGAGAAGAUUAGCAUGGCUCCUGUACAAGUAUGACACAAAAAUUCAUGAAGUGGGACGAAGUGAG
ensembl:snRNA U6 U6 spliceosomal RNA